AUGCACCAAGUAAUUUUAGUAACAAUGCAUGUCGGUUUUUUUUCUUCUUCAAAAGAGCAAUUAAGAUGUGUAGCAUGCAAGGAGGGAACUGGUUGGGGCUAUGGACUGGAUAAGGCUAAACUGUUCUGGGUUCAGUUUCAAUCUUUGCCAUUCAUAUCCAUCAAAAGAAGAAAAAAGAGAAAGAGAGAAAUGUUGCUUUUGCCACUCGUGCUGCUCGUUGAGUCAUUCUGUCGAACACUAGUCGGGCUUAAAUUAGACGCUCGUUAG
rnacentral:lncRNA from 1 species